rnacentral:pre_miRNA from 1 species
AAGAGGCUCCAAGAGAAUUGGGCUAGAGCUGCUGAAGAAGGCCCUAGGAUUCUCAUGAACCUCAGGAUAGAUUUCUGAGCCCAUUGACCAAGUUUGGGUCCAAUUCUCUUUGUACAUAUUAGACUAGGAUGUCAUUA